rnacentral:rRNA from 1 species
CGGCAAACGGGUGAGUAACACGUAAGUAACCUUCCUCCAAUUCUGGAAUAACCUUGCCAACGCGAGGCUAAUACCGGAUGUGGCCAUGGUUUCGCAUGAAACCAUGAUCAAAGAUGACCUCUGUUUACAAGUUAUCGUUUGGAGAUGGACUUGCGCCUCAUUAGCUAGUUGGUGAGGUAACGGCCCACCAAGGCUUUGAUGGGUAGCCGGCCUGAGAGGGUGUACGGCCACAUUGGGACUGAGAUACGGCCCAGACUCCUACGGGAGGCAGCAGUAGGGAAUUUUGCGCAAUGGACGAAAGUCUGACGCAGCAACGCCGCGUGAGUGAUGAAGGUCUUCGGAUUGUAAAGCUCUGUUGAGUGGGAAGAAAAGUUCCGGGAAUAACACCUCGGGAUCUGACGGUACCACUUGAGGAAGCCCCGGCUAACUACGUGCCAGCAGCCGCGGUAAUACGUAGGGGGCAAGCGUUGUUCGGAAUCACUGGGCGUAAAGGGAGCGUAGGCGGAGAAAUAAGUUAGAAGUUUAAUGUACGGGCUUAACCCGUAAUCUGCUUCUAAUACUGUUUUUCUUGAGUAUGGGAGAGGGAGAUGGAAUUCCAGGUGUAGCGGUGGAAUGCGUAGAUAUCUGGAAGAACACCAGCUGCGAAGGCGGUCUCCUGGCCCAAUACUGACGCUGAGGCUCGAAAGCUAGGGGAGCAAACAGGAUUAGAUACCCUGGUAGUCCUAGCUGUAAACGAUGGACACUAGAUGCUGGAGGAGUCAAUCCUUUCGGUGUCGUAGCUAACGCGUUAAGUGUCCCGCCUGGGGAGUACGCUCGCAAGGGUGAAACUCAAAGGAAUUGACGGGGGCCCGCACAAGCGGUGGAGCAUGUGCUUUAAUUCG